rnacentral:rRNA from 1 species
GACGAAAGCUGGCGGCGUGCUUAACACAGGCACGCCAAACGUAAAGGCCCUGCGUAUGUGGUGGUCUCGAGUGGCGAACGGGUUAGUAACACGUGAGUAACCUGCCCUUUACUUUCGGGUAACCUCAGGGAACUGGCCCUCAUACCGGCUAGGAGCUCAUGCUGCGUGGCGCUCACUGGGAGCUUUCGGCGGUUGGGGAUGGACUCGCGGCUCAUGAGCUUGGUGGUGGGGUAGUGCCUUACCAAGGCUUUGUCGGGUAGCCGGCCUGAGAGGGUGACCGGCCACAUUGGGACUGAGAUACGGCCCAGACUCCUACGGGAGGCAGCAGUGGGGAAUAUUGCACAAUGGGCGGAAGCCUGAUGCAGCAACGCCGCGUGCGGGAUGACGGCCUUCGGGUUGUAAACCGCUUUCGCCUGUGACGAAGCGUGAGUGACGGUAAUGGGUAAAGAAGCACCGGCUAACUACGUG